AGGCGUGGCUUCCGGAGCUAACGCGUUAAAUCGACCGCCUGGGGAGUACGGCCGCAAGGUUAAAACUCAAAUGAAUUGACGGGGGCCCGCACAAGCGGUGGAGCAUGUGGUUUAAUUCGAUGCAACGCGAAGAACCUUACCUGGUCUUGACAUCCACAGAACUUUCCAGAGAUGGAUUGGUGCCUUCGGGAACUGUGAGACAGGUGCUGCAUGGCUGUCGUCAGCUCGUGUUGUGAAAUGUUGGGUUAAGUCCCGCAACGAGCGCAACCCUUAUCCUUUGUUGCCAUCGGUCCGGCCGGGAACUCAAAGGAGACUGCCAGUGAUAAACUGGAGGAAGGUGGGGAUGACGUCAAGUCAUCAUGGCCCUUACGACCAGGGCUACACACGUGCUACAAUGGCAUAUACAAAGAGAAGCGACCUCGCGAGAGCAAGCGGACCUCAUAAAGUAUGUCGUAGUCCGGAUUGGAGU
rnacentral:rRNA from 1 species